GGCUGUUUCCGUGCCUAAAAAGCACGGAGAGUAAGGGCUGGGUAAGACGGGUGCCAGCCGCCGCGGUAAUACCCGCAGCCCGAGUGGUGGUCGCUAUUAUUGGGCCUAAAACGUCCGUAGCCUGCCCGGUAAAUUCUUGGGGAAAUCGGUCAGCUCAACUGACCGAAGUCCGAGGAGACUGCCGGGCUUGGGACUGGGUGAGGUCAGAGGUACUUNCAGGGGUAGGGGUAAAAUCCUGUAAUCCUUGAAGGACCACCAGUGGCGAAGGCGUCUGACUAGAACGGAUCCGACGGUAAGGGACGAAGCCCUGGGGCACAAACGGGAUUAGAUACCCCGGUAGUCCAGGGUGUAAACGCUGUGGGCUUGGUGUUGGGAGUCCUACGAGGGCGCCCAGUGCCGGAGAGAAGUUGUUAAGCCUACUGCCUGGGAGUACGCUCGCAAG
rnacentral:rRNA from 1 species